AUUGAACGCUGGCGGCAUGCUUUACACAUGCAAGUCGAACGGCAGCGCGGGCUUCGGCCUGGCGGCGAGUGGCGAACGGGUGAGUAAUGCAUCGGAACGUGCCCAGUAGUGGGGGAUAGCCCGGCGAAAGCCGGAUUAAUACCGCAUACGACCUGAGGGUGAAAGCGGGGGACCGAAAGGCCUCGCGCUAUUGGAGCGGCCGAUGUCGGAUUAGCUAGUUGGUGGGGUAAAGGCUUACCAAGGCGACGAUCCGUAGCUGGUCUGAGAGGACGACCAGCGACACUGGGACUGAGACACGGCCCAGACUCCUACGGGAGGCAGCAGUGGGGAAUUUUGGACAAUGGGGGCAACCCUGAUCCAGCCAUGCCGCGUGCGGGAAGAAGGCCUUCGGGUUGUAAACCGCUUUUGUUCGGGAAGAAAUCCUCUGGGCUAAUACCCCGGGGGGAUGACGGUACCGGAAGAAUAAGCACCGGCUAACUACGUG
rnacentral:rRNA from 1 species